AAUUUUCUACCUAGUUCGGCCCACACAAGCCAAUCUAUCAUUAUACAAGUCUUGGGUGUCGUCAUCCAAUCAGAGUGAGACAUUUUUUGGAGACCAGGUUGAUGUAUGUUAUAAAUGCGUCAUCAAGCAGGGGCAGACCCUCUUUAUCCCUACUGGUUGGAUCCACGCUGUGUUCACGCCGAUCGACUCCCUCGUGUUUGGCGGGAAUUUCCUCCAUGAUUUCAACAUUUCACUACAGCUUCAGGUUUAUGACAUAGAGAGGAGAAUCAAGACCCCAUCCAAAUAUUUAUUUCCUAGUUUUGAGACUACCCACUGGUAUGCUGCCAAAUAUGUCCUGGAUGCCAUCAAAGAUUACACUUAGGAUUGCAGGCGACCCCCGGAAUAUUUACUGAUGGGGGCCAAGUCUCUGGCCAUGCACCUGAAGUCUUGGACACAGCAGAAAGAUUUCUUAAAGAAUGCCAAACAUGAUGUUCCUGAGCACCUGAAUUACGGCUGUCUUCUUAAGGACCUGCAGAAGGAAAUCUGGGCCUUCGACACUUCG